rnacentral:rRNA from 1 species
UACGUAGGGGGCAAGCGUUGUCCGGAAUCAUUGGGCGUAAAGCGCGUGUAGGCGGCUCGAUAAGUCCGCUCUGAAAGCCCGGGGCUCAACCCCGGGAGGCGGGUGGAUACUGUCGAGCUUGAGUCCGGAAGAGGAGUGUGGAAUUCCUGGUGUAGCGGUGAAAUGCGCAGAUAUCAGGAGGAACACCAAUGGCGAAGGCAGCACUCUGGGACGUGACUGACGCUGAGACGCGAAAGCGUGGGUAGCGAACAGG